GACGAACGCUGGCGGCGUGCUUAACACAUGCAAGUCGAACGGAAAGGCCCUGCUUUUGUGUGGUGCUCGAGUGGCGAACGGGUGAGUAACACGUGAGUAACCUGCCCUUGACUUUGGGAUAACUUCAGGAAACUGGGUCUAAUACCGGAUAGGAGCUCCUGCUGCAUGGUGGGGGUUGGAAAGUUUCGGCGGUUGGGGAUGGACUCGCGGCUUGUCGGCUUGUUGGUGGGGUAGUGGCUUACCAAGGCUUUGACGGGUAGCCGGCCUGACAGGGUGACCGGCCACAUUGGGACUGAGAUACGGCCCAGAGUCCUACGGGAGGCAGCAGUGGGGAAUAUUGCACAAUGGGCGGAAGCCUGAUGCAGCAACGCCGCGUGCGGGAUGACGGCCUUCGGGUUGUAAACCGCUUUCGCCUGUGACGAAGCGUGAGUGACGGUAAUGGGUAAAGAAGCACCGGCUAACUACGUG
rnacentral:rRNA from 1 species